rnacentral:rRNA from 1 species
UACGGAGGGGGCUAGCGUUGUUCGGAAUUACUGGGCGUAAAGCGCACGUAGGCGGCUUUGCAAGUUAGAGGUGAAAGCCCGGAGCUCAACUCCGGAAUUGCCUUUAAAACUGCAUCGCUAGAAUUGUGGAGAGGUGAGUGGAAUUCCGAGUGUAGAGGUGAAAUUCGUAGAUAUUCGGAAGAACACCAGUGGCGAAGGCGACUCACUGGACACAUAUUGACGCUGAGGUGCGACAGCGUGGGGAGCAAACAGG